GAGCCUAUAAAAUGAUGCUCUGCCCUCCCUAACAAUGGCAUUUGAUGGCGGUUUAUAUCUCUUUUAUGGUCGUAUUUUUUCUGCCCUAAUUAUUUUUAUGUUGGUAUCAUGCACAUUGCUACCCCGGGCAGACCCGAUAAAAAUGAAGGAUCAGCCCCAUGCGUGUGCUACAUUUAACUGCUGUCCAGUGUUGCAAGUCUGGUGAUUUCCUGCAUCUUAUUUGUGUCAAAGUUGGCAGCUACAUUGCAUUAAAUGUUUCUCAGAAUAAAUUGCGCUGGAAGCAUUGGAGAAUCCGUUGGUUAUAAUAUAAUUCCAUGUAUGCAACAGUCUUCACCAUUCUCUCGAGAUUAAAAUAUAGGCUUUCAGUAUGUACGUCUAGAAGAACUUGUAAAGCCUGAAAAAUAUUGAAGCACGGAUGAUGAACAUUCAUUGUAGCUUCAUCAAGUUUUAGGUGAAGAACAGGAAAGCAGUCAGUCGAAUGCUAAAGUUUAAUGAUUAAAUUGAGUUUAUACUGUGCCCCGUAGACGCUAUUUAGUCAAUCAGGUCUAGAAGCAGCUGGCUUCUCUGAAGUAGUUUCAGAAGCUCAUCUAAAUCCCUAGGGAUUUGAAGUCAAAGAUCUUGAGUAUUAUCCUGUGAUUAUAGUGUAGCCUUCUUUGUUUGGCUUGUAAAAAUGAAUGCAUUGUUAUGAAUCAUAGAUUCAAUUUUGUUUGAAUUAUUUUAUUAUUUUUUGUGUAAGGUUUGGAAAGUGCCUGGGUUUAUAUAUUAGUAUGCUAUUAUCAUUUUUUUUAUUAAAAGAAAUCUUUUAUCUAUAUUGAGAGAAUACAAUUACAAACAAGGGAUGCAAUACAUCAUAGAGAUGUGAGUAGUGUUAGUAGUAGAUGGGGGAGAGAUCUCCCUGAUAGUGUUAGUAGCGUUAGUAGAAUAGGGGGGAGAGAUCUUCAAAAAAGGAGAGAAAAAAAGAUAUGGAUGGAUAGACAGAAAGAAGUAGAGAUAAUAGAAUGAGAGAUAAUCAGACAAUGAAAUAUAGAUAGAGUAGAGAGGAAGAGGUGAGAAUGAAAUAUAGAUAGAGAGGAAGAGGUGAGAUUUGAAGAGAGUGAUGUAGAGGGCAAGAGAGAUAAUGAAUAUAGAUAGGAAGAGGUGGAAGGAUAGAGAAAGGAGAGACAAAGAUAAGGAUAAAUGAUGCAUAAUUAAUAUAAUUAUAGUGAAGGUGAUUAUCUCACUAACUCUCGCACAAACUUUCUUAAAUUUAAUAAAAUGAGUCCCUGCAAACCCUAGACAGAGCCUGUAAAAUGUUGCUCUGCCCUUACUAACAAUGGCAUUUGAUGGCGGUUUAUAUCUCUUCUAUGGUUGUUUUUUUUUCCGCCGUAAUCAUUUUUUAUGUUGGUAUAAUGCACAUUGCUACCCCGGGCAUACCUGAUAAAAAUGAAGGAUCAGCCCCAUGCGUGUGCUACAUUUAACUGCUGUCCAGUGUUGCAAGUAUGGUGAUUUCCUGCACCUUAUUUGUGUCAAAGUUGGCAGCUACAUUACAUUAAAUGUUUCUCAGAAUAAAUUGCGCUGGAAGCAACGGAGAAUUCCUUUGUAUGUUGCUUUUAGGAGGCAGACGAUUUUACGAUCUGUGCUGUGUGUUUUUUUUUAAUAAUUUUGAGGGUUUUUACUUCUUUUGGUUUCAAUUUGGUUUUUGAAAUUUUGUUGAACGGUGAAAUUAUGCAUUUUUCCUGAUAUUAGUCCCGGUAUUUUUAUGAAGGGGCUCGAAUCUCUGGUAGUUAUUGUGAAAUUGGUCUAGAAGCGUCUUUCAAUCUUGUGAAGGGCUGGAAAAUAGAUCUUGAUAAUUGUUUUCAGUAUGGUGUCUUUGUUGAGGUCUAUAAAUAUUUCUUUUAGGUUAUAAUAUAAUUCCAUGUAUGCAACAGUUGUCACCAUUCUCUCGAGAUUAAUAUAUAGGCUUUCGGUGUGUACGUCUGGAAUCACUUGUAAAGCCUGAAAAAUAAUGAAGCACGGAUGAUGAACAUUCAUUGUAGCCUCAUCAAGUUUUAGGUGAAAGAACAGUGAAAACAGUCAGUCGAAUGCCAAAUUUUAAUGAUUAAAUUUAGUUAUACUGUGCCCCGUAGACGCUGUUUAGUGAAUUAGGUCUAGAAGCAGCUGGCUUCUGUGAAGUAGUUUCAGAAGCACAUCUAAAUCCCUAGGAAUUGAAGUCAAGAUUUUGAGUACUAUCCUGUGAUUAUAGUGUAGCCUUAUUUGUUUGGCUUGUAAAAAUGAAUUUAUUAUUAUGAAAUGUAGAUUCUAUUAUGUUUGAAAAUAAUAAGAUUUAAUUUUAA